rnacentral:rRNA from 1 species
GAAAUACCACCCUUUAAUGUUUGAUGUUCUAACGUUGGCCCGUUAUCCGGGUUGCGGACAGUGUCUGGUGGGUAGUUUGACUGGGGCGGUCUCCUCCUAAAGAGUAACGGAGGAGCACGAAGGUUGGCUAAUCCUGGUCGGACAUCAGGAGGUUAGUGCAAUGGCAUAAGCCAGCUUGACUGCGAGCGUGACGGCGCGAGCAGGUGCGAAAGCAGGUCAUAGUGAUCCGGUGGUUCUGAAUGGAAGGGCCAUCGCUCAACGGAUAAAAGGUACUCCGGGGAUAACAGGCUGAUACCGCCCAAGAGUUCAUAUCGACGGCGGUGUUUGGCACCUCGAUGUCGGCUCAUCACAUCCUGGGGCUGAAGUAGGUCCCAAGGGUAUGGCUGUUCGCCAUUUAAAGUGGUACGCGAGCUGGGUUUAGAACGUCGUGAGACAGUUCGGUCCCUAUCUGCCGUGGGCGCUGGAGAACUGAGGGGGGCUGCUCCUAGUACGAGAGGACCGGAGUGGACGCAUCACUGGUGUUCGGGUUGUCAUGCCAAUGGCACUGCCCGGUAGCUAAAUGCGGAAGAGAUAAGUGCUGAAAGCAUCUAAGCACGAAACUUGCCCCGAGAUGAGUUCUCCCUGACUCCCUGAGAGUCCUGAAGGAACGUUGAAGACGACGACGUUGAUAGGCCGGGUGUGUAAGCGCAGCGAUGCGUUGAGCUAACCGGUACUAAUGAACCGUGAGG